CAACAUUGCUCUCGCCUCCUCUUCGAUUCUCCUCUCCAGCUUCUUCCGUUCAUCAAAUACUUCCUUUUUCUCAUCUUUAACUCACAAUAUCUGACCGUUUUAGUUGAGGAAAGCUUGGGGUCCGAAAAGGGUUGGAUUUUACCCCAAAAUAUAUCUUCUCGGAGAAAAUUUCAAAGAAGGCGGGAGGUUUGGAGUUGUCUUCUUGUCUAUCUUCCGGAUUUCAGUUGGUAUUCCAUAGAUUUGUAGUUAUCUACCCCGCAUUGGGAGGAUCUUCAUGCAAACUGGCUGCCCUUAAUCGAUUUCUUGAUGUAGGGUGAUAUUCUAUUUGCUGCAUGAAUCAUAUCUAUGCAAUCCAAAUGUGGCUAGUUAAGAAAAUGAUUUCUAUGGAUUUGAUAUUGAUCUUAAUUGAAAACUUCGAAUCUUCAUUCAAUUGGUGAGAUUUAGAGUAUGCUGCACAUAUUGCAUUAUCUAGCAGAAAUCUGGAAUACAGUAUUAAAUAUGGAUUAGGUAAAUGAUGGUAUGCAAAAUUGUCCAGGAUGUCAUACUGUCUUUUACAUUGGCAUAGAGCAAAGGGCAGUGUUGACUCUGAACAUGUGUCUCAACUACCAUCCUGGUCUGCUUUUAUGUUUAAAAUGAAAUUAAUGAACAUAUUUAGCAUAUUUAGCGAUCUUUGGAAAGUUCUGUAACUUCAGGUUUUCUGCAAAUUGAAUGUGUUUUCUGGGAUGACCAGCCAACAAUCAAAAUCUGGUGAUCUCAGUUGAUUUCCUGAAUCUAUUCCUUGUUUUAUGGAUGGGAAUACAAGUAAAAAACAGUAAUGCUGCCACCAUUGUUAACUGAUAUUGGUGGGUCAGUUGCUCGGUUAUACCAGAUGCAGGCUAUUCUUUAGCAAGAUGUCUUUAGCAAGAUGUCUUUACAAUUAUUGGACCAUAAUGUCUUUAGCAAGAUGCAGUCUAUUCUUCCUAAUUUACAUAAAGAAAGAGGCUUCAAGCUUGUUCGAAAUCUUGCGUCAGUUGUAAAAUGCAUACAGGAAAGCUCAAGAUCCAUUUGAUUCUCUUUAUUAAGUUUUAGAUUAAUAUGAGAACCAAUUAUGUAGAUGUCACUGGCUGUUUUUUGUAUAGUGUUAACUAUCAUUCUAUGGUGAUAUCAAACUUAUGGUUCGAAUGAUCUUUAUGUUUUCUGUGCCUUCAAGGGAUUAAAAAGGCAGCACUGUGGAAAGAAACUCGAUGUGUGAGAAAGAGAGAUGCAAUUCCAUGACUUGGAGGAUAAUUAUUUCAAGUGCCAAUUUACCAUGACAGAUGAUCAGUAGCUGAAAACCUAUGCACAGACUUCGAAAGACAAUAAAAACAAUCGAAAAGGCACUUGUUCAACCAGCUUCUUCAAUAGCCCAAAAAUUAUGGGUUUCAUGAUUCAGUUGUUCUGGAAAAGCUUCUUGCCAAUAAAUGAAUCAAUGUCUUAAUAACUCAAGCUGUCAAAGUGGAGAAGUGGAGAAAAGAAGGUAGAUUACUUGUUUUGAAAUGAUAUAAACCUUGCAAUUCCAUCACUCAGAACUCAAUAUUGCCAAACUGAAAAUUCGAACUGUCUGGCUUGCUGAUUACUUGGGGAUGACAAUGUAUGAUGAUGAUUAAAAAAGCAUUGAAAUAUGAAA